rnacentral:rRNA from 1 species
AUGAACGCUGGCGGCGUGCUUAACACAUGCAAGUCGAACGAUUAACCCGCCCUCGGGCGGUUAUAGAGUGGCGAACGGGUGAGUAACACGUGACCAACCUGCCCCUUGCUCCGGGAUAACCCAGGGAAACCUCGGCUAAUACCGGAUACUCCGCGCAGCCCGCAUGGGGGGCGCGGGAAAGCCCAGACGGCAAGGGAUGGGGUCGCGGCCCAUUAGGUAGACGGCGGGGUAACGGCCCACCGUGCCCGCGAUGGGUAGCCGGGUUGAGAGACCGAUCGGCCACAUUGGGACUGAGAUACGGCCCAGACUCCUACGGGAGGCAGCAGUGGGGAAUUUUGCGCAAUGGGGGAAACCCUGACGCAGCAACGCCGCGUGCGGGACGAAGGCCUUCGGGUUGUAAACCGCUUUCAGCAGGGAAUAUAGUGAAGGUACCUGCAGAAGAAGCUCCGGCUAACUACGUGCCAGCAGCCGCGGUAAUACGUAGGGAGCGAGCGCUAUCCGGAUUCAUUGGGCGUAAAGCGCGCGUAGGCGGCCCGUCAAGCGGGGUUUCAAAUCCAGGGGCUCAACCUCUGGCCGGACCCCGAACUGGCGGGCUCGAGUGCGGUAGAGGAAGGUGGAAUUCCCAGUGUAGCGGUGAAAUGCGCAGAUAUUGGGAAGAACACCGAUGGCGAAGGCAGCCUUCUGGGCCGCCACUGACGCUGAGGCGCGAAAGCUAGGGGAGCGAACAGGAUUAGAUACCCUGGUAGUCCACGCCGUAAACGAUGAGAACUAGGUGUUGGGGGAAUAACUCAGUGCCGCAGUUAACGCAGUAAGUUCUCCGCCUGGGGAGUAUGCACGCAAGUGUGAAACUCAAAGGAAUUGACGGGGGCCCGCACAAGCGGUGGAGUAUGUGGUUUAAUUCGAAGCAACGCGAAGAACCUUACCAGGUCUUGACAUCCUCUGACAAUCCUAGAGAUAGGACGUCCCCUUCGGGGGCAGAGUGACAGGUGGUGCAUGGUUGUCGUCAGCUCGUGUCGUGAGAUGUUGGGUUAAGUCCCGCAACGAGCGCAACCCCUGUCGCGUGUUGCCAGCAUUGAGUUGGGGACUCGCGCGAGACUGCCGGCGUCAAGCCGGAGGAAGGUGGGGACGACGUCAAGUCAUCAUGCCCCUUAUGCCCUGGGCUGCACACGUGCUACAAUGGCCGGUACAACGGGCUGCGACGCCGCGAGGCGGAGCGAAUCCCUCAAAGCCGGCCCCAGUUCGGAUCGCAGGCUGCAAUUCGCCUGCGUGAAGCCGGAGUUGCUAGUAAUCGCGGAUCAGCAUGCCGCGGUGAAUACGUUCCCGGGCCUUGUACACACCGCCCGUCACACCACUCGAGUCGUCUGCACCCGAAGUCGCCGGCCGAACCCGCAAGGGGCGGAGGCGCCGAAGGUGUGGAGGGUAAGAGGGGUG